rnacentral:lncRNA from 1 species
AGCGUUGCUGUCCGGACAGAGCAAAAAAAACAAGGCAUCAGUAUUGUUGAGUAUUAGCUUGUACCUGGUUCGGAGGCUAAUUUGCCGGAGAAGGCAGGGGUGAGCCACGGUGGCUGCCCGGCUGUGCACCGGCGCCGGAGUUUGGACCAAGACAAAGACAGGAGCUGUCCGCGGUGCUGAAUCGGCGGCGCCGUCGCCGGAGCAAGGGGGCUUCUGUAACCAGCCCUCUGCUCAUUUACUCCCCAUCCUUCUAGCUCCCCUUCGCUCUGUGACUCUUGCCUUCCCCUGAAUUUAUUUCCCUUUUGGGGGACUCACCUUAGAACCUGCGCCCUGUACACAGGUGUAUAUACAUAUAUCAAAGAACAAAACGAUUGAUUGAAAACGGUGUCUUCUCCUUUCUUCCCAAAUAAAUGAUGUUAGAAAGGUUUAUUUUAACUGUACCCUAAAACGGAGAGAAAUGGAUAUUUCUACUCCUAAAUAAAUGGAAAUUCAUGUUAAAAACAAUAGAGCUAACCUAUAACAAAUGUCACGAAUCUGCCCUCUGAUUUAUUCUGAUA